rnacentral:rRNA from 1 species
GAUGAACGCUGGCGGCGUGCCUAAUACAUGCAAGUCGAGCGAACAGAUGAGGAGCUUGCUCCUCUGACGUUAGCGGCGGACGGGUAAGUAACACGUGGAUAACCUACCUAUAAGACUGGGAUAACUUCGGGAAACCGGAGCUAAUACCGGAUAAUAUAUUGAACCGCAUGGUUCAAUAGUGAAAGACGGUUUUGCUGUCACUUAUAGAUGGAUCCGCGCCGCAUUAGCUAGUUGGUAAGGUAACGGCUUACCAAGGCAACGAUGCGUAGCCGACCUGAGAGGGUGAUCGGCCACACUGGAACUGAGACACGGUCCAGACUCCUACGGGAGGCAGCAGUAGGGAAUAUUCCGCAAUGGGCGAAAGCCUGACGGAGCAACGCCGCGUGAGUGAUGAAGGUCUUCGGAUCGUAAAACUCUGUUAUUAGGGAAGAACAAAUGUGUAAGUAACUAUGCACGUCUUGACGGUACCUAAUCAGAAAGCCACGGCUAACUACGUG